rfam:Psychroflexus torquis ATCC 700755, complete genome.
GGGGUCGAUUUGGUUUUGACAGCAAGGCCAAUUGGAUGGUAAGCACGUCGAGCGCUGGAAUAUAGCUCGUAAAUCUCAUGUUUCACACUUUUUUAAACGGCGAAGAUAACUACGCCUUGGCUGCAUAAUCCGAAUCACAGUAGGAUAUGUUUAACCGUUACCAGGUAACGGGCUAAGAUGUCUCGCAAAAGCCUUGAUUUACGGCGUUUGCACCAGAGGCACCGGUAAAGUAAAUAUAGCUAAAACAGGGUCUUGAUGUUUUUGUGAAGCUCAAUUGAGAAUAAGGACACGGUAGGUGGUUUUCAGCCAGUCUUGUCUCGAAAAUUCAAGAGAAAACUAAGCGUGUAGAAGACUAUUGAAUUGCUUGUUUGGACGGGAGUUCGAGUCUCCCCGACUCCACCA